AGUGAACGCUGGCGGUAGGCCUAACACAUGCAAGUCGAACGGCAGCACAGUAAGAGCUUGCUCUUACGGGUGGCGAGUGGCGGACGGGUGAGGAAUACAUCGGAAUCUACUUUUUCUUGGGGGAUAACGUAGGGAAACUUACGCUAAUACCGCAUACGACCUACGGGUGAAAGCAGGGGAUCUUCUGACCUUGCGCGAUUGAAUGAGCCGAUGUCGGAUUAGCUAGUUGGCGGGGUAAAGGCCCACCAAGGCGACGAUCCGUAGCUGGUCUGAGAGGAUGAUCAGCCACACUGGAACUGAGACACGGUCCAGACUCCUACGGGAGGCAGCAGUGGGGAAUAUUGGACAAUGGGCGCAAGCCUGAUCCAGCCAUACCGCGUGGGUGAAGAAGGCCUUCGGGUUGUAAAGCCCUUUUGUUGGGAAAGAAAAGCAGCAGGUUAAUACCCCGCUGUUCUGACGGUACCCAAAGAAUAAGCACCGGCUAACUUCGUG
rnacentral:rRNA from 1 species